CACAAACACACACACACCCACACGCAUCACUCGGUCAAGUUAUCGUACAUGCCAACAGAAGACCCCCAUCCAUUAACAUUGAGUACGGCCCCACGAAGCAGAAAGUUUUGAUUCUUCCAUGAGGGAGCAAAUAUGCUUGCAGAGUGUGAGCCUGUUGAGUGUUCCGUGAAUUGGUCAAAGAAUCACCAUUGGACAUAAGUGAGAUCAUCCGCUAGUUGGAACUUCUCAUGAGAAAUGCUACAAUGCUCCCCAGCACAGCACCAGCAGCAACCUGGAGAGGAGUGUGACCUAGCGAAUCUCGAAGAGGUCUGACAUUGGAGACAGGGUGGUCAGGAGGUAGCUCACAUACAAUUUGAUUUAGUAAUUCAGCUUGGCGACCAGCAUGAAGUCUGACACCAGUAGCAUCAUACAUAACAACACAUGCCAAAACCAGUGCAAUAGCAAAUGUUGGAGCUCCAGUUCCUUCUUGUAGACCAAUGGCUACUGCAAGAGCAGUCACAGUUGCUGUAUGUGAUGAGGGCAUUCCACCAGAUCCAAGCAUCCUUCUAGAAUCCCAUCUCUUCUCUUUG
rnacentral:misc_RNA from 1 species